GUUUGAUCCUGGCUCAGGACGAACGCUGGCGGCGUGCUUAACACAUGCAAGUCAAUUUGAAGUAGCAAUAUGGAUGGUGGCGAACGGGUGAGUAACGCGUAGAUAACCUGCCCCUUAGUUUGGGAUAACCUCGGGAAACUGGGACUAAUACCGGAUACUAUCUUUGGUUGGCAUCAACCGGAGAUGAAAGAUCUUGAAUCGCUGAGGGAGGGGUCUGCGUACUAUUAGAUAGUUGGCGAGGUAACGGCUCACCAAGUCAUUGAUAGUUAGCUGGUCUGAGAGGAUGAUCAGCCACACUGGGACUGAGAUACGGCCCAGACUCCUACGGGAGGCAGCAGUGAGGAAUAUUGCACAAUGGGGGCAACCCUGAUGCAGCAACGCCGCGUGAGUGAUGAAGCAGUUUAUCUGUGUAAAGCUCUGUUGGGAGGGACGAAUUGUAGGGUUAGUUGCCUUAUUUGACGGUACCUCCUAAGAAAGCUCCGGCUAACUCCGUG
rnacentral:rRNA from 1 species